UACGGGGGGAGCAAGCGUUGUUCGGAUUUACUGGGCGUAAAGGGCGCGUAGGCGGCCAGCGCAAGUCAGUUGUGAAAUCUCCGAGCUUAACUCGGAAAGGUCAACUGAUACUGCGCGGCUAGAGUGCGGAAGGGGCAACUGGAAUUCUCGGUGUAGCGGUGAAAUGCGUAGAUAUCGAGAGGAACACCAGUGGCGAAGGCGGCGGCCUGGACCGAUACUGACGCUGAGGUGCGAAAGCGUGGGGAGCAAACAGG
rnacentral:rRNA from 1 species